AUCUAGGUGGCAUAGUAGCUAGAGCACCAGACCUGGAGUCAGGAAGACUCAUCUUCAUGAGUUCAAAUCUCAUCUCAGACA
rnacentral:tRNA from 1 species